GAUGAACGCUGGCGGCGUGCCUAAUACAUGCCAGUCGAGCGGACAGACGAGGAGCUUGCUCCUCUGACGUUAGCGGCGGACGGGUGAGUAACACGUGGAUAACCUACCUAUAAGACUGGGAUAACUUCGGGAAACCGGAGCUAAUACCGGAUAAUAUAUUGAACCGCAUGGUUCAAUAGUGAAAGACGGUUUUGCUGUCACUUAUAGAUGGAUCCGCGCCGCAUUAGCUAGUUGGUAAGGUAACGGCUUACCAAGGCAACGAUGCGUAGCCGACCUGAGAGGGUGAUCGGCCACACUGGAACUGAGACACGGUCCAGACUCCUACGGGAGGCAGCAGUAGGGAAUCUUCCGCAAUGGGCGAAAGCUUGACGGAGCAACGCCGCGUGAGUGAUGAAGGUCUUCGGAUCGUAAAACUCUGUUAUUAGGGAAGAACAAAUGUGUAAGUAACUAUGCACGUCUUGACGGUACCUAAUCAGAAAGCCACGGCUAACUACGUG
rnacentral:rRNA from 1 species